GUCUAUGGCCAUGUCACCCUCAAUGUACUCCAUCUGUCUGAUCUUGGAAGCUAGGCAGGGUCGGGUCUGGUUAGUACUUGGAUGGGAGAAAAGUGGGGCAGGGGCUGAGCUAAGGCCU
ensembl:rRNA 5S_rRNA 5S ribosomal RNA